GACGAACGCUGGCGGCGUGCUUAACACGUGCAAGUCGAACGGUGAAGCGCCUUCCUUUUUGGUGGGUGUGGAUGAGUGGCGAGCGGGUGAGUAACACGUGAGUAACCUGCCCCCUUCUUCUGGAUAACCGCAUGAAAGUGUGGCUAAUACGGGAUAUUCUGGGUCUGUCGCAUGAUGGGUCUGGGAAAGAUAUUGUUUCGGUGGGGGAUGGGCUCGCGGCCUAUCAGCUUGUUGGUGGGGUGAUGGCCUACCAAGGCGGUGACGGGUAGCCGGCCUGAGAGGGUGGACGGUCACACUGGGACUGAGACACGGCCCAGACUCCUACGGGAGGCAGCAGUGGGGAAUAUUGCACAAUGGGCGCAAGCCUGAUGCAGCGACGCCGCGUGAGGGAUGGAGGCCUUCGGGUUGUGAACCUCUUUCGCCAGUGAAGCAGGCCUGCCUCGUUUGUGGGUGGGUUGACGGUAGCUGGAUAAGAAGCGCCGGCUAGCUACGUG
rnacentral:rRNA from 1 species